CCCGGCUCCUUCAAGGUCACCCAAGUUGAGAAACAAUGCUCGGAUCUUGUCCCCUGGACCUUUGAAGACUUUUGGUGUGGAUGAUGAUCAGGGCCUACCAACACAAGGUUUCACAAACAACUGUGGGGUGGUAAGAUGCUGGCUAUUCAGUAUAUUAUAU